GUAGGGAAUAUUGGGCAAUGGAGGCAACUCUGACCCAGCCAUGCCGCGUGCAGGAAGACGGUCCUCUGGAUUGUAAACUGCUUUUGAAUGGGAAGAACACUACCCUUGCGAGGGUAUUUGACGGUACUAUUAGAAUAAGCACCGGCUAACUCCGUGCCAGCAGCCGCGGUAAUACGGAGGGUGCAAGCGUUAUCCGGAUUUAUUGGGUUUAAAGGGUGCGUAGGCGGCCUUAUAAGUCGGUGGUUAAAGGUAGCAGCUUAACUGUUUUACAUGCCAUCGAUACUGUAGGGCUUGAGUGAUUUGGAGGUAGCUAGAAUUCCCUGUGUAGCGGUGAAAUGCAUAGAUACGGGGAGGAAUACCGAUUGCGAAGGCAUGUUACUACGAAUUAACUGACGCUGAGGCACGAAAGCGUGGGGAUCAAACAGGAUUAGAUACCCGAGUAGUCC
rnacentral:rRNA from 1 species